ensembl:ncRNA R11B5.11 ncRNA
GGGAAAUUGAAGAAUCGCGACUUGGACAGCGUUUCCGGUUUAGAUGGUGGCUCGUCAAAAUCGGACAAUUCGCUUCGACGGUCCAAUGAAGAGCGUUUCGAGUCGCUUUCUAAACUAUGCAUUUUGUGUGAAAACGGCUAGAAUAUCAUGUGAUAUCGAUUUAAAUAUACAUGCAGGUCAGACCAGAAAACAUUAUACUUUCUCAGAGAAGAAAAAAAC